GCAAGGAAUUUUGCGCAAUGGGCGAAAGCCUGACGCAGCAACGCCGCGUGGGGGAAGAAGGCCUUCGGGUUGUAAACCCCUUUUAUCAGGGAAGAAGUUCUGACGGUACCUGUUGAAUAAGCCUCGGCUAACUACGUGCCAGCAGCCGCGGUAAUACGUAGGAGGCAAGCGUUAUCCGGAUUUAUUGGGCGUAAAGAGCGCGUAGGCGGCCUAUUAAGUCAGUUGUGAAAUCUCCCGGCUCAACCGAGAGGAGUCAGCUGAUACUGGUGGGCUUGAGGGCAGUAGAGGGAGGUGGAAUUCCCGGUGUAGUGGUGAAAUACGUAGAUAUCGGGAGGAACACCAGUGGCGAAGGCGACCUUCUGGGCUGUACCUGACGCUGAGGCGCGAAAGCGUGGGGAUCAAACAGGAUUAGAUACCCGUGUAGUCC
rnacentral:rRNA from 1 species